AGCGAACGCUGGCGGCAGGCUUAACACAUGCAAGUCGAACGGGCACUUCGGUGCUAGUGGCAGACGGGUGAGUAACACGUGGGAACGUACCUUUCGGUUCGGAAUAAUUCAGGGAAACUUGGACUAAUACCGGAUACGCCCUUUGGGGGAAAGAUUUAUUGCCGAUAGAUCGGCCCGCGUCUGAUUAGCUAGUUGGUGAGGUAAUGGCUCACCAAGGCGACGAUCAGUAGCUGGUCUGAGAGGAUGAUCAGCCACAUUGGGACUGAGACACGGCCCAAACUCCUACGGGAGGCAGCAGUGGGGAAUAUUGGACAAUGGGCGCAAGCCUGAUCCAGCCAUGCCGCGUGAGUGAUGAAGGCCUUAGGGUUGUAAAGCUCUUUUGUCCGGGAAGAUAAUGACUGUACCGGAAGAAUAAGCCCCGGCUAACUUCGUGCCAGCCGCCGCCGUAAGAC
rnacentral:rRNA from 1 species